AUCAUUACUAUAACUAUAAGUUUCAAGCAAUUGACUCUAAAUUGACAGGAAUAUAAAUUUCAUCCAUUCUACUCGAUUAUAAAAAAAUGUCAAUAGCAUAUCCAACAGAAACAAACAUUCAAACGCAACCACAAUGGUCUAAAAUCCUCAAAACAAUAUCAGGAGGCAAAAGAAAUAUUUCUACCAAAACAGGCUGAUAGAGAUACUCUAGUAAUGGUAACUAAUUCAGCAACCACCUUACAUAAACAAGUUGGGUUUCUUUGCCUUGUAUGUGGUCUUCAGCUUCCUUGUUGGUGGCCUAAUCUUCUUGUACACCAAUGGGAACUUGAUUUUGGAGUUAUGGAAUUGCUUGGUGCUCUCUCUUUUGCAAAGCUUGGCCGCGAUGGUUGCAGUCUUGAUAAUUUGAAUGCAAGGGAACCGGACACGAUGGCGGGAAGCCAUCUCAUUGUACAUAGCCUCCACUGCACCAUUUAGAGUGGUGUCACGGUACUCCUUGUACAUGUUGUGGUAGCCAGUCCUACUCUGGUACCUCAACCAAAUUCCAUAGUUCUUAAUCUUAGUUGGGUUCUUCUCGAAAAUCUGUGAAAUUAGAUACCUCACAUUAAUAAAAUUAUAUAAAUGCAACAAUUCAUUCUGAUAAUCAUAAACCCUAAAAAAUCAAAUGUUCACUACAAACCCAUAGCAAUUGCAAUUGGAUAUAGUUCCAAGUACUUUUAAAUAAUUACAAGUCCAUUUAAAGAGUAACAGGGAUGCAUGUUGCUAAACAUGGCUCAAACACUAAUAUGGACAAGCGGAAGUUAUAAAAAGGGUGGCCCUGUUCACAAGGCUCCCAUUUAGUGUGUUCUAGGAAACAUGAACCGUUUCUCUAAUGUCUCUCAUACCUCUGUUGGUGACAUCAGAUCCAUAACAUGAUACAUCAUCUCAUCUGAUAGACAAAGCCUUAUGGUUUCCGCAGGCUUCUCCUUCAACUCUUCCCAAUCCAGUUGAUCCAUACCCUCUGGUUUAUUCUCAUGCAGCGCCUUUGAUAGACCUUGUUGAGCCAACACAUCCUUAACCCUCCUUUGCCACAAUCCGAAAUUACCAGUUCCAUCGAACUUCCCCACCUCGAAUUUGGCACCUGGGUUAAGAGCCAUCUGAUACCAAUUGUUGGGAACAAGCGAACAAUCAAAUAGUAAAGAGUAUAGAGACAAGAGAAUAACACAAGAGAUUUGGUAACGAGGUUCGGCCAAUUGUGCCUACGUCCCCGGGAGCGUUGAGCGGCUACCACUAUAUAUUAUUAGAGAAUAAGGAUUAGUGUUUUACUAUUCUUCUCAUUGUUAUAAUAGGUUUACAUAACAUCAAUAUAUAUAGCCCUCUACCCCAACCCAUUUACAUCAGCCCAAGCCCAUAACUUGUAUUGCUGUUAUCUAGAGAUAUGAGUCAUUGCACAACAUGAAUAAAUCUAAACCAUUAGAUAUCCCUAGAAUUAAUAGUUAGGACGAGGAGUAAGUAUAAAAAAACUUCCUUUUGGAGUAAGUAGAUCUCACUCUAUAAAUAAUACUCUUUCUUUCAUAUAUUUUGAAUUUUUAAUUCAUUCAUUUUUUUUUCAAAAUAAUUUGAUUUUUAGAAGUUUAGAACAUAUUUAUACUUCAUUUUCCAACCAUACCCUUAUCUAUUAUUUCCUUUUCUCACCCCUUAUUUCUAAAUUUGUCUUCAAUGUAGUUUCUAAUGUGGGUUUAAAUAAGAUUAUUAUAGUGAAAUUAUAUCAAAUAUAUCCAUCAUUUCUUAACAUCAAAAGAAAUGUAAUAAAAGUAGUAGUAAAGAAAGGGGAGAGCCUUGUGCCUUGACUAAUCUUUAUUCUUUCUGAGUGGUAGGUCAUAAACUCAGAAACAACACACUUUUAGGAACAUUAACCAAAUAAAGAGAAUGAAAAAGGGAAGAAGACCAGCUUGUACAGUGCACUUUGGUUGCAAAGUAGGAGGACACAAGUGUGCAUUUGAACAGAUACAAGGUGAAGCACCAAAAGUUGCUUACUAAAACAUUUGUCACUUAAACAGUUGAAUUUCAUUAAUCUAUUUUCCGUCAAAGUCCAAGUAUGCAUAGUUAUAUACUUUUUCCCUGAAUCCUGGACGACCCUUUAUCACUAAUAAGCUAAUAAACAAAAAGGUUCAGCCAGUUUUGGAGAAUGUGCAAAAAUCUUUUUUGACCAUAAAGUUCGUCACUAAGAGCCUAUACAAUGGUAAUUUAUUACACUUACAUAUAUUUUUUUAUAGUUUAUUAUAAUUCUCAUGCAAACAACAUUUUUAUUUGGGUCUCAUUACUUUUAUUUUCUCCUACAAUAUUCCCUCUCUCCUCACUUUUCAUUGGCUAAGAACAAUCAAUAAUAUUUCUUAUAUAAGAACAAAAAUAAAAAAUAAGAGCGACACAAUGGACAAAGUAAGAAUGUUCUUAUUCCAUUAAGAACAACAUUAUGAUUGCUCUAAACAUAGACCCCAAAAUAAAAUAAAAUAUCAGUAUUGAGAAAACAUCUAAAGGAUGGUCGCUUAUGAAAUAUUAGAAUGGCUUGAAGAAGAUUCCAUGUUCAUUAUCUUUAAUAUUUUAGUAUAUGUAUUUUUCAUAAUUGUUUAGUCAUGGAAAGACAAUCAUGUCUGAGCAAUAUAAGAUCACUUUAACGACAACACAAUCCAUAAUCAAUAUCAUUGUAAUUUAUAUCAAGUAACAUAUUAUCAUAGACUCGAACUCAACACCUCUGGUUAAGUUAGAAAAUUUUCUUAUUGACUGAUCUACACACAUGAUGAUUAUUUAUUUAUUUCUAUAUCAAGAGAGUGUAUGAAAGAAUUUAUUUGAACUUAUAAAAUUAGUCUAUAGCAUUUUUAAAAUAUAUUAAAUAAGUAUUUAAUUAAGCCUUAUAUCCUAAUGUUACCUUUUCACAUGGGGUCCAAAUGGAGCUAACAUAUAUUUCUAUCUUUCGGCUGUUUGAAAUCUUAAGUGGAAGAGUCAAUGGUCCUAUAAUCAAUUAAUACCCAAUCUAUUCUUAUAAAAUACAAAUCAUUAACUAUUUAUAAAGGGAAACUUUAUUUGUACCAGGAAAUAUGCUACAACCAACAAACUAAACUGCUUGACCCAUUUGAUAUGAUUUGUGACAUGUUAUUUCCAAUGCUACAUAGUACAAUGUCAUUGCAGGCUAAUUAAAGAUAGCAAAAUUAUAUUGUAAGAAGCUGUGAAAUAAUGAAAGGGUGACCCACUAUAUAUAGCUUUUUAUUUUGUGGGGUGGUUUAGUGCACCUCAAUUUCUUUUUGAUUGAUUACACUUCUUUUAUCUUCGGUCUGAAAAAUGUUUGCAAUGUUAUCUCAAUUUCCAUAUACCACGUACCAUGUUUGGCAUAAACAAGUUUAAUAGUAAUAACAUAAAAAAGUGACAAAUCAUACCAUAACUGGUGCAAUGUAACUAAUUAACUAUGCUCUAGAUACUAUGUUGAAUUAUACAAUGAGGGAAAAUUACUGUGAAACGAACCAUGCAGCUAACCACAAGUUGAUCCACUUAUAUCUUUGUUGCUUUGCUCAUUUCUUCUAGACGUGGAAAUCCUUUUAUUUUCCAACAAUAUUAAGCUAUGACACAGUUACUAUAAACUGAAUACUAUAAGUUUCCAUUUCCAACAGCAAGGUCCAAAACAAAAAUGUUAUAGUUUUAAAUUAAAUUGAACUCUGCUGGAAAUCAUACAUCAUGAGUGAGAUAGUUAAUGGAAAAUCUAAUCUUACACGUUCAGAACGAAAAAUAACCUGAAGUUUUAGAUUGAGUUGUUGUUGGACACUAUUAAUUUCAUUAUUGAACAGGGCAUUUGAAUUAUUAUAUGUUGGGUAAUGGUAAGGUUGUUGCUUAGUCGCCAUGAUAUCACAUAUUCAAAUCCUCGAAACAAACUCUUCACUUGCAGGAUAAGGUUGUAUUUAUCUGCCCUUCUCAGACUCCACUAAGUAGGAGCUUCGUGCACUAGGCCGCCCACUAAUGAGACUUUCAAAAGAUAACCUGCUUUUUUUUUCUCUUUCUAGUGUAGGGCUGUUUCCAAUUUCUAUUUGACACAUGACAAAGAUUCAUACAAUUUCUUAUUCUUGGGAUAAUUUUGUAUGAAGUCAGAGAUAAUUUUAACUGCUCCCUUUGAAAAUCAUGAAGCAAACAAGAGCUUAUGAUAUAGUUGGUUGAUUAUUUUGUAUAAGAGGAUUCACAUGUGCAUAUUAUAUGUAACUGGUGAAUGGCAUGCUAAGAUAAGUGAACCUCCAAAUUCAAAGGUUUGAGACUCUCUAGGAGUAUGCAGACAAAACAAUGCACUUGUUUUUUCCUUUUAUGGUCUUCCCUUGCAUUGAUUCCAGCAUAAUAAUAUUAAUUUCAUUUAUACUAUCAAUCACAUGUCCCAAAAAUAUAUAUUUUUAUGUCCCUAAUCAAUCAAAUUCCAAAAAAUAAUAUAGAAAUGUUAGUUAUGCUUUUAUAAUUUUUCUUUUAAUUAAGUGUCAAUUUUUAAUUGGAUGAGAUACAAAUUAAAUGAGACAUGUGAUCUACAUUCCCAUCCAGGGAAGGAACAUGAUCAGCUGUCUCCAUUCAUGUCACUAUCCAAUUAGAAAAUGAUAUUUAAAAGUUAUAAAAAUAAAAAAUAUUAUUUUAUAUUAUUCACUAAAUUUUUAUUGGCUAGAGACAGGGAGACACCGUCAUUUUGAGACAGGUGAUCUUCAUUCUCCACAAAAGUGAAUAGGGAUCAUGUGUAGGAAAAUGAUUGUGUCCCACAUGUCUCUUGCCAAUCAAUUUUCUUUAUUAAAUAUAAAAAUAUUAUUUUGUAUAUUUAGAAUUUCUCUUUUUAAUUUAAUAAUAUUUUUUUAUUGGACAGAGAGAAUGAGGAAGUUCACAAAAAUGGCACUAAGAGUAUUUUCUCAAAACCCAAAGUUUUGAGGUCAAUUUCUACUAGGCCUACCUGAAAAAUCAAGGCAUAUUUCAUUAUGUAUAUAAGAAACAAAAACAAUAAUACUUUAUGGGUUCAUUUUUGUGUGUAGCACAACAAGUAUGUGUGUGUUCACAAAUUAGUUUAGAAGGUAGAUUCCUAGUUGUUUUUUUACCACCUUGGCAUUUACUAGUGAACUGAUAUGCAUAAUGAUUCAAUUUUUUCAAAUCCUUAUCAAAUCCCAAUACCUUUACAUAAAGCUUGUGCAAUAAUUGACUCAUUAAAUUUUAGAUUAUUCACUGAGCUUCAAAACUAAUGUAAUUACCUUAUUAUAUCUGUCAAUUUUCUUAUUACUAAGAUACAUAAGAAAAAAACAUUUUAAUGUCAUUGGAUAAGAUUUUAAAACUAGGUAGAAAUGUGAGAAUAAUAUUCUAAGGAACAACUUUUCUUAUUUGUACAACAAUUUUAUACAUUAAAAUUUGACAACUUCUUAUUGAAAAAAGAAAGAAGACCCUACAAUUUCCACCUAUUGUUAUUUAUUUCUCAAAAAGAAAGUUGUCAAACUUUAUAUACAAAGUUGUCCUACAAAUAUCAAAGUUUGUCCAAAGAAUAAAUCUGCAAAAUGUGCUUUUCUUUCUCACCAUUAUAAAUUGAGAUUCUUUAAAAGACUUCUCACAACUUCACAAGUCCAUAACCUUCAAGCCCUUAACAUUUCUAAACUCCCCGCACUUACCACUAUCUAUCUUUCUUACAUUUUCUCACCUCUUCCAACACCAAAUUUCUCACCAUUUCUUAUCUAUGUCCACUUCUAGAACCUCAAAUACUUCCCCCAAAGGAUACACUAACCAAACCCAAAUGAACUCAUUUUUUCUUCAGCAUAACACAUCAUCACCUUGUAGUGAAAGAAGAGGCAGAAGAAAACAACAAGAACCAGGUAGGUUUCUUGGUGUAAGGAAACGCCCUUGGGGUAGAUAUGCUGCUGAAAUUAGAGACCCUACAACUAAAGAAAGACAUUGGCUUGGAACAUUUGAUACUGCUGAAGAAGCUGCACUUGCUUAUGAUAGAGCUGCAUUCUCCAUCAAAGGUAGCCAAGCAAGAACAAAUUUCAUUUACUCUCACAAUAAUAGCACCAGUUUUCAUAAUCUCAUUACUCCUAUGCAAGUUCAAUCUCUUUUACCAACUCCACAGUUUAUAACAAACACUCAAAAUACUUCCAACUUCAACAAUAAUGCUAUGUGUAAUGAAACUGAAACUGCAUUUGCUUCAGCUAAGGAUGAUAACUUUUUCUUCUCCAAUGAUUCUAAUAAUAACUCUGGCUAUUUGGAAUGCAUAGUUCCUGAUAGUUGUUUAAGACCUGUUUCAAGUGACCAAAAGGGUAGCUAUAUUAACACAAAAACCAUGCAGGGUCAGUCAUAUUUUGACAACAAUGCAUUUUCUCAAGAAGCCUUAAGCAUGCAAACAACAAUGCAAGUUUCUAACUUUGAAGGUUCUUCUUACCAAAAUGAACCUAGUCAAGGAUUAUUGGAUAAUCAACAAUCAUGGGAUUGUAAUUCUAGUGAACUUUCAUCUAUAUUUAAUAAACCAUUAAGGUUUGAAGAUGAGUACUGCAUGGGUGCAUUGUGUCCUAUCAGUGAAAGUCCAAGCUAUGAGACUGUUUCUUCAUGCUCUCCAUCAUUUCCUCCUCCCUUUGGGGAUAUUGACUUGGGAUACUCACCAUCACCUUUCUAAGGUACCUUUAUUAUUAAGGGUACCUUAGACUUGGCCAUUGUGUACUUGCAUUGCAUGCACUUUUUCUUCUUUUUCUUGUGUGUUGAUUGAUUACUAAAUUACACACAUGAUGUGAGUUCUUUUGGUUUCUAAGAUAUUGGAAAAAGGUCCACUACUUAUCCCUUUUUUUAUUCUUUUCAAGCUGUAUUUUCACACUAAUUUUUACACCUACUUAAUAAUAAAAAAGUUUAUGAUUAAAAUUGUGUACAACAAUGUCACUUGUACAAUACAAUUGAACAACUUAGUUUUAUCAUAUUUGAUAAAUUGAACGUUAAUUUCUAAUAUACCAAUUGAAUCAUUUAUUUAUCAUUUCAUAUAUAUGAUUAAUUAUGAAUUUAUAUAUGGUUGACUAAAUAUAAAAUCAUUAUGAAAAAAAUGAAAUCAUAAUUUUUGUUCUUUCCUUCAAAAAAAAAAUUAGGAGUCCUGUAAGUGUGUUAAAAAUUUGAGGAGCACAUUUGUUGUCUCAUACUUUGUGUCAUGGGCUUUUGAUUAGUCAGAAAAAAUAUAUUUAAGUUAAAAUUUAAUUAUUGAAUAUUUUUCUGACCGAUCACAAGUCCAUGGUACAUGGAGUAACACUCAUUGUGGGACAACAAAUGUAUACCAAAAUAUUUGGAGGUAAGAAUGAUAUGGUUGAUCCAGUGAAGUGAGUUAGUUAGUAGAAUGACUCUGGUGGUUGAUGACGCUCUUUUGUGUAUGGAUAAGUUGUGUAAUCGAAAGAAUCUUCAAUGCUAGAGAACAUUUAAAGUGUUUAUAUAGAAAGAGGAUAAGUAUAAAUACCAACAAUGAACAAUACCCAAUACUUCAAGGUCCUAAAGAACAUGGAAUCAUUCUCAAGCUCUAGUUUGAAUAGGCAAAAGGAGCAUAUGUUGCACUUGAAUAAUUAACUUUUCUUAAAAAUAUGUCUUGAAGACUUUCAUGUUCAUAAGGAGAGAAAAAACCAACUACAACAAAAUACUAUGAGGUCAAAAAAUACAUGUAAGAUCCUUGAAAAGACAACGAGGGUACUCAAGAGGGUGUAAGCCAAACGCCUUCGAAUGAGAGUAAUCGGCGGACAAAUUCAUUGCUCAAUUCCAUUCUCAGAAGAAUGUACUGAGUAAUUGCAGUUUGAAACCGAAUAAUCCAUUUAUAUCAGUGCAAAACCUCCCUGGUUGAUUAAAGAAUUGCCAGAACAUAGUUGAAAUAGUGAAACUACUAUUUUAACUGCAUUGAAACUUUAGGGAAGGGAAAUUGGAUUGUAAGUGAAGAUAAUCUUACACGCACUACCUGAUCUUACAUCAAAGCUUGAUCAAAUCUAAUAAACAGGCAUAGAUGGAGAGGGAAAAAAGGUUAUUACACAUUCAAAUGUAUCAUUCAUAUAUGUGUAUUCUGUAAUAAAUUUAAGUACCAAGUCAAGCUUUUCAUUGUCACAACAUCACUUUGUAUCCAAAACCAUAUAAGAUAGCAAUGUGAACCCAAGAUACAAACAGGUUGGGAAAAUUACAGAACAGGAAUUUCCAAGAAGAAUUGGAAGACUGUACCCAAAUUCGAAGAGGGUUCGGCUGAAGAGACAGAGAAAUAAGGUCAAUGAAAAUAUGGUCUGGAUAAAUAAAGAACAACAGACUCCAAAAAAUGUAGAUGUGGAUGGACAUGUGCAUAAUGGAGUUGCAGAUUCCAUUGGAGUUAUUCAAAAGCAAGGUAGCUGUAUGGGAUGACUAAAAUCCUGAAGGUUGGCCAUGGUUUAUUCAAGAUCAAAGGGAUGGCCAAGAAAAGAUUCUAUGAACAUAAAGAUAAUUCGUGGGACGUGUGCUACACCUGAAAGUGGAACGCGGGUAAUUGAAAAAUAAAACCUAUUUGCGGACCUCCUUGAAUAAUCAUGUCCAGUGAAGAAUUGAGAUAAAAAGGAGCAAUGAUGAGGUUUGCAUUCACAUUGCUUAGCUUGAGGUGGGAGAGACAUUGCCGCUUGUUGUGGUAGUUGUAGCAGCUAUAGGAUUGGAACUCUGAGAAGAUGGUUGGGUGUUUGGUUGAGAAACAGGUUCACCGGUUGACAAAGUGAAGCCGACUGACCCGGUCAAUGUGCUUAUUGACGAAGACACUCUGACUGAAUCAGCCUCAUUGUUGGAUCCUGGGGGAAGGUCAGGCCGCAACUCCAAUGAUGAAGAUGACAGAGCAAGUGUACCAAUUGAUGAAGCCACAGGAUAGAGUGCAACCGGCAUGUCAGCCAGGGAAGAAGCAGAUGGACUAUAACUCAGUGAUGCAAUAGGAUGAUCAAAUUUGCAUGCAGGGCCAAACUUACAAACUCCACGUUGCGCAUAAUGAGUGCAAGGAGGUGCCCCCUGAAUAUCAAACACAAACAUUAGAUGCUUGACAAUUAGGAAGGCCGUGGAACAAAUAAUUCUGAAAACAUUUCAACUUAAUAGACAAACCUACCAGUGUCAAAUGCCAGUAAUUAAAAAAAUUAAGUGAUAGAAAUUUUUUAAAUAUAUUAGGAUAGUUUCCUUGAACCAUAGUCCAAAAAUAAAUGUUAUACCAGGAAGGACUAGUAAGUUUAUAAUGUUUGGAAAUAGCCACAUUCAAUAAAAUGAGGAAGCACUCUAUAAUAAGGAAAACUGGAAGCACUCCUAAUCUAAAAUCGGGAGCAAAUCUGCUGUCCCACAGUUUGUGUCACUCCAUGUGCCAUGGGCUUGUGAUUGGUCAGAAAAAUAUUUAAUAAUUAAAUUUUAACUUAAAUAUAUUUUUUCUGACCAAUCACAAGCUCAUGCCACAUGGAGUGGCACAAACUAUGGAACAAUAGAUGUGUACCCUCUAAAAUCAUGGUCAAGGAUGUAACACUCCAAUAUCCAUGAUCCAAGCAUAUGAAAACACUUUUGCCCUUCAACACAUUUGUCAAAAAUGACCAUCAAAAUGAUCUAACAACACAUUUCCUAAUGCCCAAACAAGAUUAUAGAUCACUGUCAAGUAAAAUUUUUGACAAUAAACUAGACUGAUCUACAUAGAAUAUAAUUCCUAACCAGAUGUUGGCUACAAGGGAAAAUGUAAGGAGGCCGUGGCUGAAUUAUCCCUAAUUUGAUUCGUUUAGAGACUUCAGUUUUAGUCCCUGCCAUUCAUCAUAACCACUCUUAAGACUAAGUGCAAUGAUGUUUAAAUGUGUGUAUUUUAAGUACGAGAUGUUCUGCCAAUUUCAACAACAUGGCCAUUAAUACAUCAUACCACUCUCCCUACUGCACCCCUCUGAAUACCAACUCAAAGGGUACACCAAACAACCACUAAGUUGUAUGCAGGAAAACUAAAAGAACUUACUAGGAGUAGGCCGUAUUAACCUAGGAUAUAUGAUAGAAAUAAGUUGAAUCAAGUUCAAAGACCCAGUGUUCAGCUUACAUAUGAAGUAUCCAAUUCAAACUCAAACCAAGCUUUUCAAGCUUAGAAUCUAGGCUAAGCUUGAGCUUUAUAAGCUCGGCGGUUUUCUUCACUUCUUCAAUAAUCAUAUCAAAUAAGGUAUAAAUAGGCAAUUGAACACAAGCUCAAUUUAAACAUUAAAUAAACAUAGUCAAGCUUUGAACCAGUAACUUGAGCUAUCAAAUAGGUCAAUUUGAUUGCCAGCAGUAACUUCAAGGCAUGUUCUCUAUAAUGGCCCAAAUAGCAGUUUAUGCAAGAAUUAUGUCGCCUUGGGUUUGGAAUUUAUACAAAAGAAAUAAGAAAAAGUAUGCUAUGUGUAGCUCCUUUUAGUGGGAGGGAAGAGCUGAACAGGGGCAAUCGGUUUUGCAUUCUGUUAGAAUUAGGCAAGGGAUAUACCUUGUCGCAAGCUCUGCCAUGGGGAGUUACAGAUGCUUUCUCUUCGGUAACACGCUAUCUUCAUAAAUAAUACACUAUUCUAUUUCCAUUUUUCAGUUUGCCGAUAACAAAUUAUAGCAGUACAACUACUAUUACCUCAAUUGCAUACCAAGGGAUUUUCUUAUCAACCCAAUCAUCCCAAAAUCAUUUGAAUUUCCUAAAUGGCAUGUCCAACCAAUCUAAUUGGCUAACUAUAGGAAGCAUAAGUGGCAACUUAAGUAUUAAAUCUACUCAUCUCAAAGGAUGCUCUUUAAGUAUCAGCACUACAAUACAAGAGUAAAAUCAACUAAAAUAAAUGUAUUUCAGUAUGUAACAGACUGAUAAUUGUAUUUAAGAAAAAACAAACAUGAAAUGUUACAAAUCAGCCCUGCAACCAUCUGUUUUCUCCUCGCGUCAUUCACAACAAUGUUAUCUAUAGUGUAUAAUAUCUCUUAGGACAUUUGGUUAUGUAACUUAGCCUAAUUUAUUCAUAGCUAAAUAUCCUUUACUUUUAUAUCCAUUUUGAGGACAAUCAUGAGAUAGCUCAUACUAAAGUUAGCUACAGAAAUGCCAACACUAGUGAAAGAAAAACAGAUUACCUUAAGUCUAAUAAAAUGGAUCUUUUGUAAGAGAGAGGAGAAAAAUCUAAUCAUUGCAAUUCCCUUAGUUAAUUACUUAUAGAUAACCAAAGACACCACAGAACUUAUUUUUCUCAUGAGAAAAUCCAUUAAAUAAGACCAGCGAUAAUAUCUAGAAAUGUUAAGGAUAGGAAUAAAAGAACCAGACGAACCAAGUCGAUAAUGCUGUAUUUGUUUUAAAAUCCAAAUAUGGUUACAGUUUACAAGUUAAGAUAUAUUCUAAAACCAUAUAUAUUUUUAAAUCUAUGCAUUACUGCAAAAUAGAAGACAAAACUCCGACUCUGACAUUCGGCAUCUGCAUAUCAGUACAAACCAAAUGCACAAACAAGAAAGUUUGAACCUUCUUUUUGAAAAAUAAAGAAAUUUCAUUAGAAGAGAGUAGAAUAGUACAAGGGGAGAGGAUAAGAAAUCCUGGCACAGAACAAAAAGAAAGGGGAACCACUAUGCUAGGAGGUAGAGCGAUGCAUCAAAGCAUGCCAAUCCCUUUGUAAGGAUAGAAAGCCCAGAAAAAAUCCUAUGGGCAGAGCAUCACAGAGAUGCCAAAAAAGUACCCUUCCCAAACAAGUCCUAAAGAGGAGAAAGAAUCUCUAAACAAUUAUGUGCCUUUCUAGCCAUAUACACCAAAUAAGAGCAAAAAAUGCAUACUGCCACAAAAUAUUACUGUCUUUAACCAAAACCUCUAAAUAUGGUAAGGAGAAAAGAGCACACCUUCAUAGGCAUAAUGCAAGAUUCAUCAAAGAGAGUGAAAUUUUUUUACCAAGCUCCAAACCAGCCACAUAUCUUGUUUGCAAAAAUGAUAUUGGUAGGCCCAUGCCAAUUAAAUACUCUCAAAGGCCCCAUAUUAUGAAUGUUGGGCACCCCACGCAGGUGGGGUGAAUACGACAAAACUAUGUAUCAGGGUACAAAGAUAGUACCAAGUACGGGCACAUGAUUCAACAUGGGUAUAUAUUGCUGGGGCCCAUUGAAUCCGAGAAUAAGUUUAAAAGACUUGCUCCAAAUCCUCACCAUUCAAUGUAUUCUAAUAGAAAGUUUAAGGAUAAACUUCUUUAAUGAAGAAAUAUAGCAAAGAUACCAAUGGAGGACGUAAGUGUCAUGGGAUGAGAGGUUGAUGCCCAAAACCGGCUGUGAGAUGUAUGGAUAAGAGAUUAAUUAAGUGCCGCAUAGAUUCAACAUCAUGGUGAGGCUGGGAACAAAAAAGGAAAAAACCCUACGUUCCUACCGCAAAACGACAUAGUUUUGGAACUAUCCGAACCUAGGUGUAACUAACCAGUAUUAAAUCUGCGUGCUUAAUUAAAAUAAGAUAGUAAAAAAUUGAUACAUGCCGUGUACCCAUGAGUACCCAACAGCCCAUGCAUAAUGAUGCUCGGCAACCGAUAGGUCACCAUUUGAAGUACAUAUGCUUCAGAGCAAUAAACCAAGUGCAACCAAAUGAUGAGUUAGUUAUAAGAAUGGACAACUGGUAGAAUUUGAAUAGUGGAGGCAAUUCUGGAAUAUAUUUGGAGGUCUUGGAGGCUACAAACUAUCGAGAAUUGGUUUAGGCUUAGGGUAUUGAGUAGGGGUUCUGUUCUCUGCAUAAUCAUUUUCUUGUUGGUUUUUUUCCCCUGUUUUCAAGUGUAAUUGGGAGGAAGUCUGCAUUGUCUGAGUAUUUUCUAUUAAAGGGUUCGGUCCCUAACAGAUAUAUAAAGAAUAAAUUUAAUUAUGAUCAUUAUGUUGAUCAUCCACUCAAUUCCACACCAAAUCAUUUUUGGCUUAAAUGCUCAAGGAUUUGAUAUUUUUAGUUUGGGGUUCGCAAGUUAUACUCUACUGUUUUUUUUUGCUACACAAUAAUACAACAACCUAAUGCACCCAUUUAUACUGAUAAUUAGGUCAAGUACUAGAGUUUCUAGUGCAAGUCCAAGCUAACUGCUAGUAAGACUAUUAUUACCUUAACCUAAUAUCUUCUAACAAGGGUCCACAUAUUAUUUCUGAUCAUCGACUUCAUAAGUCGUCGAGCUAUGUAUGUCACAUACAAUCAUUACUAUGGUUUGGCAUUUUGGAAAAAUUAGUUAGUGAAUGAGAUAUUCAGUAUAGUUCUGAUUUCAAGUAGCAACUUCUCAGUUUGCAUAUAAAUAAGAUACUCUAUAAAUUCAAUAACAUACAAACUACAUCUUGAAAUGCUAUUGAAACAGGAAAAAUAUGCAACGUAAGAUCAUUUUCAGUAAUCAAUAGCAUGUUAACGCACGAGGUCAUAAAUUUAAAUCUACGGGCAAGCUACUAAAAGAGGAAAUAUAUUUCAUAAUUCGUAUGAAGGAUAGACAAAGAUCUUUCUUUUCAUUUCCUUUUCUCUUUUAUGGUGAUUUAACUUAUUUUACAAAAAGAUUUCUCUAGGGCUAUUAGAUAAAACUUACAUGUAUGAAAUAAAAUUUAAAAAAUUGCCUAUGAAAAAACAUAUGAAAUAAACUUCCAUAUAUGUGGGAAAAGAUUAUGUGCAGUCCAAAUAGGAUUAACAUGAAAUACAAAAACUGACUAUUCAUGGCAAGUCCAACUAUAAUAUGCAGGACUCAUGAAAUAACCUUAAGGUCUGUUCGGAUAAGGUGUUUCACGAGGGUAACAUAAUUUGAGAGAACUUAAAAUGGUAUACAUUGAAACGCUUUGUUUGGGUAUCUCCGGGGAAAAUAAUAGGGAAUUAGAAAUAACAGAUACAGAGGUGGAAUUUUUUAAAAAUUUAAACUUUUUUCUAUCAUGCACCUCCAGCUUUACUUCAGACAACAUCUUCUUCUCCAUAGUGAAUCGUAAAAGAGUACAGAGAAAUUCUCAAAUUUUGAAAGAUUGUUGAAUUAAAAAAUUCAUGUUUAUCAUCACAAUUUCUACUACUACUACUACUACUAAUACUUCUAUAAGGUUCAAAAUAACAAUAAUAGAAUCAGCGCCAAUGUUAUCAUGCAACUUUGAUCUCCAUGAUCCUUGAUUGCAUUAAAUUAAAACAUUCAAUAUCCAUGGUGUAGUCCAUGCUCCUUAAUGCCAAAUCACCGCUGGUGAUGACACCCCAAUGAAUAAUAGUUCGAAUUCUCUGUAUUUUAAAUUCUCCAGAUUUUUUAAAUGCUUUUUAUCCAAACACAGGUUUACGGAGCACAUUGGAGGAAAAUGCUCUUCAUGUUCAAUAAAUUAAUGUGAGAAUUCCCUAGUAACUAUGCAUAAGAAACUAGUCAUCAUUCAAAUACAGCAUAAAAUCAUAACAUCAAUUACAAGUCUGUAUUAUGUUCCAGAUCUAGUAUUAUUAUCUUACAAACUUAAAAAGAGACAUAACAAGUUUCAACUAUUUAUAGUAAACAAUAUUCCUUGCACUCCCUCCUCUGGCCGAGAACAAAUCAACGCUGAAAGAUUUUGAAGAGGAGCUUACUAACAGCACUUGGGUACAGUAAAAGUGAUCAGAAGUAAAUAUUUAACACAACAUACAGCUAAAAAAAGAACAGGAUGGAAACUUAAAAUGAAUAUGACUAUCCGAAUGGAGUGUUAGCUUAGAAUAAUAAUCAAAGCACAAUAACAGGAAGGAUGGCUCCUACUCUUUUUGUUUCAUUGAUGAAUUGAAAACUUAUCCCGAGUUUCAGUAAAGCACAUUUCAAAUCCUACAUAAAGCUAUUGCAAAUUAAUGAUAAGUUAACUUGGUUAAGCCUAAAAAAUUAGCUAUUUUAAUCACUGGAAACUACUAAAUUGUGUUGUUGGAGAGGGAGAUGAAUCAACAACAACAACAAAAACUUUUUUCUAUUGGGUGGAAGAGGGGGUGGAUCAUAGAUAUAUAAUUCAUAACCCAAUAUGAAGAGCAAACAGUUCAAAGAAGCUGAGAAGCAAUCAUUACCGGGCGCGAAGGAAGUCCCGCAGGACUGAGGGUCAUGGUCGUUUUUGGUGCAUUCAUGUCUGGUGGAUGGUGGUACCUACAAGAUGAACCAAAUUUGCACUCCCCUGUUCUCAAGUAAUGCUGACAUUCUGGUUGGUCGGGCCUUUCAGGAAGUGAGUGCUCCUUUUGACUAUUGCUUGAAGGACCAAUUUUGGAACCUGAAGGCUGAUAAGGCCCAGGAUAAGCACCUGCUGGUGAAGCUAGCUGGGUUAUCCCAUACAACUGUGCCGAACCAACAUUAGAUGGAGUACUUGAAGGAAGUACAGGGCUUGUCGCAGUAGCCUACACCAAGAGCUCAACUGUCAACAAUUUCGAUGAAUGCACAUAUGUCAUGUGACUUAACUAAUCAGGCAAAGAGAAAUGAUUAACCUACCUGAUACGGAGCCCAACCUGAAUACGGGACCAUGGCAGGGGACAGUACCAUAGGGCCAUAGGGGCUCUGGACAUAUGAGCCAGGAAGCAGAGGUGGCCUUGCAACCAGUACACUAAGUUGUUGUGAUAUAUGAUCAGAUGGAGGCUGCACAGUUGGAUAUAAUGGUGAAGGCACAGGCACAGAUAAAUGUGAAACUUGGGGAACUGGCAGUGGUGGUGGUGCAAUGUGGACAUCAGCAGGCUGUGGAUGAUGGAAUUUGCAAGUUGAACCAAACUUGCAUUGUCCCGUUUUCACAUAGUAGGAGCACUCUUUCUCACCCUGUUAUUGUUUAUAAAAAUUCAAAUUUGGAGCAAAACUAUUGCCAUGAUUAGAAAAUUAGACCUAACAUUCACAAAACAUGCAUAAUUUCAUGCAGUCAUAUAAAGCAAUACAGACCGGUCGCAAUGGAUAUCCAUAAUAAUUUAGCGAGACAGGGUUAGCAGUGCCUCCUCCCUCCUUAGGAUGGUGGUACUUGCAGGAUGUACCAAAUUUGCAUGAUCCUGUCCUCAUAUAAUACUGCAUUUGAUUCAGUAUAGGAAAAUAUAAUCAAUACAAAAGUAAAGUCACAGGCUUUGAAGACAAUCCAAACAGAAAGAUACGCUCACACAAUCCUCGACAUAUAUAGAUGAUCAUUGAACACAUUAUUUUGAUAGUGUGCAAUCCCAAAUAAUUAAAUUAUUAAACUAAUAUUUGUCAAAGAAAGACUUUUGAUAUGUGUGCACAUAGUAUUAAUUCAACACAAGCAGAACCAUAUAAAGCACCUGGCACACAGGCUGGCCUACUCGUUCCGGAAACUCCCCGGUCUUUGCAGCUCCAAUAACCUAUGCAGCAUACAUAGAUAUCUUCAAAUUAAGAAACAUUAAAUGAGAGUGUCGAAUGCAAUCAUAGUAAUUUCAGUUAAUUAAGUAAAGUUCAAAUCAAUCAAUGACUUGAAUCAAUGCAACCCCAGUAAUGAAAAUCCUUCUGAUUCAUCAAGCUCAACACUGAUUAUCCACUCUAUAUAGGCAAGAUCGAACCAAAAUGAUCACAAAACCUCUUCAAUGGACAAAAUCUAGACAUGAAUUUACCGCGCCGCGGUCAGAAGGAUGGUUGAAUCGACAAUGUGAACCAUAGCCACAGACGCCAGUCCUCAAAUAGUACAUACAAUCAGCCUCACCGGGGCGUAGCGGAUACGAUUCCUCACGGCCGCCACCACCACCACCUAAUCCCAAUUGCCACAUAGACCCUGCAUUUUUUUAAAAUCAAGAUCAAACCCACUUCACAAAAAGCAACAUUUAACAAAACCCACAAAAUCAAAAUCAUAAAACCAAAGCCUUUGCCUAUAAAAGUAACGAUUUUUAGAAAAAUGCAGAGUGCAGAAAAAGAUAAAUUACCUUCUAGACCGGUUUCACCACCGUGUCCGGUCCAUUCCAGCGACGGAUCAGAGCCAGAGCCUUCAGUGGACCUCGCAAAGCUCUCCAUUGAACCGGUGGAACAAUGAGAUGGUUCGAUCAAAUGGAGAUUUUAGAGAGAGAAAGUAGAGAGAUAAAAUGAGGCUUUUUUUUUCUCUUCUUCUUUUCUCACAGAAAACACAAAAACUGUUGCUACUAGUUUCUUUUCUUGUACUACUAAGCUUGGUGGGUCUUUUUGUUUCUCUCACUAGUUUCUCUUUCUAGUUUCAUUGAUUUUUUGUCUUUCAUCUUUACUCUUCAUAAAAGGUGUUUCUUUUAUUGGUCUCUUUAGUUGCUUUUAUUAACUUUUUUUUUAAUUAUACAAUGUUUUGUUAUAUUAUUUAUUAUUUAUGUUUAAUUGAUAUUGAAUUUUUCAAACAAAAAAAUAUACCAAUAAAGGAGUAAAUGUGUAUAAAAUUUAACACUUAGAAUGAAUAAAUAUUUCACUCAUAUUUACAUUUUUACCAUAAAUAUAUUAUCUCCAUUAAUUGAGUAUCUAAGUGAAGGAGGUGUUGGAUUUUUGGAUUUGGGUUGUCUAAUUUUGUAUUUAAUCAAUUAAAAUAUAAUAAAAGAGAAAGACAUAGACUCAAUUAAGUUAUAAAGUGGUCAAAGUUAUAAAAAAUAAAGUCAUCGUCAGUUUCAUCUUCCACUUAUGUAAUUAAAAAAUAUUGUAAGUUAUUAUCAAGAGACAAGAGGGGUGGGUUAAUAAAAAAUAAUAAAAUAUUCAUUAAUUAUCAACCACAUUUAAAGCUUUUUUAAUUCAAAUUUAUUUCUCCCACUUUUCUUAUAAAUAAAAGGAGUUACUAAAUCUUUGUCUCAUUUAGAAGUUUGGCAGAGUAUUAAAUAUAUUUUCUUUUCAAUUUCAUCAUUUAUUUAUGAGAAUUGUCUCAAAAAGUAUGUCAUUAUAUAUAUAUAUAUCAUUUAAUGUGAUUAGCUUAAAAAUAUAUAUUAAAUUAAAAAUUUAAAAAUUAAGUGACAAAUUAUAAAUAAUAACACAUUAAGUAUUAUAAAUUUUGUCAUCAAUUUACAUAAGAAAUUUAAUAUGUAUAUAUAAAGUUUGCUGGUACAUUAUUAUAUACUCAUAUACAUUAUUUUUAUUUAAUAAUGAUUAACAUUUAUACUAUAUAUACUAUAUAUCUAUACAAUAUAUAAAGGAAAAACAUGAAAUAACUACUACGGUGUAAUUUCACUUUCCUACUUUACCCUUAAACUUUUUAAUUAAGCAUCAUCAACCUAUUAACCAUCUCUCUAGCAUUAUAAUAAAAAAAUAUUAUAAUAUAAAAUAUCUCCAAUAAAAAAUAUAAUAUAAAUUAUAUUCAAUACAAAAGAAAUAUUCUAUUUAUCCAAAAUAAAAUAUACAAAUUUUGUGACAUCAUAAAAGUAUGAAUUUGUACUAGCAGACACGAAGUGUCUGUCACCACUAGUAUAUAUAUAAAGUCAAAACUUAAAAUAACUUCUCUCAUUGUGUAAUUUUCAUUUCCUAUAUUGUCCUUAAUAUUAUUUAAUUUUGACAAAAAAAACUAUAUAAUCCUAAGCAACUACCACCAAUACAUUAAUUAACCACAUAUCUCAUCUUAAAUUAAACAUUAUCAUAAACACACAAAAAUAUAAUAUAAAGUAUACCAAACACAACAAAUACAUUUUAAUUCAAAAAAUGAAAUAUAUAAAAAUUGAAUAUGUAGUAUCACACAAUAUUCACCGUCAGACACAAAGUGGUUGUAUACACUAGUAUUUAUAAUGGAUAAUCAACUAAUAAUGUAAUAAUAGAGAAAAAAAAGAAUACAAGGGUCAUCUAAAGUUAUUAGUUAAUAGUAUAUACACAUCAUUCAUUUAUAUAUAUACUUCUAUUCUAUACUAUAUAUAAAUGCAAAACUUGAAAUAAUUAUUAUCAUGAUUCUAUUUUCUAUUUUACCCUUAAUAUUUUUUAUAUCUAAAGUAAAAUCAUGUAAUCAUAGAUAAUUGUAAUUAAUACAUCUUACUUUAAGUUGGAUAUUAUAAUAAAUACAAAAAUUAUAACAUGAAAUAUAUCCAACAAAAACAUUUUAAUUCUCUAAAAUAAAAAAUAUAAAUUUAAUACUUAAUAUCAUAAAAUAAGAAUGCGGAUCGACAGACAUAAAGUGUCUAUCAACACACUAGUAUUUAAUAGUCAUUAAUCAUUAGAUAUAAGUAAUACACAUGAUAUUAUUGAAUAUAUACAUAUAAUUUUUUUUAGUAAUAUUAGGUUUAUUUGUUUAACAAGAGAACAUAAGAAGAGAGAAAUAUGUGAGAAAUACAAAGAGAAGAAAUAGACUAGAUUUUUAUGAUGUUUAGUAUAAGAGGAGAAUGAUAGAAGAUAAAUAAAAAUAAGUAUUUUAGUUGGAUAGAAAUGAGAAGAGAGUAAUGAUGUUAUGAUUCAAAUUACAAAAAUGUUUAAAAAAAUAAAGAGAAGAGACGAAAAAAUGUUAUUUUAUUAUUAAUUAAAAAUAAAUUUUAUUAUAAAUUUAAUUAACAUUUUCAAUUGAUAUGGUUUGAGACACCAUUUGGGACAAUAGAUCCCUUUUAGGAUAAAACUUUUAUUUCUCUUCUCACUUUCUCCUCAUAAGCCAAGAGAAAAAAAAAUUAUGGGUCCACCCGUCUUUUCUUUCUCUCAUCUUUCUUCUCUCAACCAAAUGAAAUAAAUUUUUCAUUUAUCUUAAGCUUCUCUAUCUUUUCUUUAUUCUUUAACUUUGUCCUUCCAAACAAAGGCAUAGAGUCAUAUGACAAUACUUAUUGUAUUGUGAGUACAUAAAUACUAAUUAUAAAAGGAAAUUAAUGCACAUAAAGAAAUAAAAGGUAUUUUAUACAUAAAAAAAGUUCAAUUAUAAUCAAUAUAUUUGUUGCAGCUCUUAAUUCUCUGCUUUCUUUAAAAAGAUAAAAAUUAUAAGAAAAUCUAAAAUUGAAAUCUACGAGAAGCUGAUUUUAACUGCCCCUGGGGAGGAGGGGUGGGAUCGUAACUUUCCAUCUCACAAAUUGAGACAUAAAUUAUAAGACAGAAGAUGUACUUAGUUUGAUAAUGGGUAAGAUAACCAACAAGUUAGUCCUACCUGUUAGGUUAGAGGGAAAAGGCUUGGAAAGACUCAAAUGCCCUUGAAUUUCAACAUGUGUUGUUUACUGAAUAUGCCGACAGAAUUGUCCUUUUACUUAAAGUAAAUGGACUUAUUAUUAUUUUUAUUUAAAUUAACUUUCGUUCUCUUAUAAGUUAUAAGUGCAUUUUUUAAUAAAACUAAUUUCUAUUUAACUAUCAUUGUUAAAUUUUGAGAUAAUAUUAACUUAUUUAUUAAUUAUACUAUUAUUCAGAUUAUUAUGGAGAAAAAUAAUAGUUGAAUGAAUAAAGCGAGAAGAAAAGUAUAAACUAGUAAAAAAUAACAAUUUUUGGAAAACAAAAAGCCAAUAAUUCAUUUUAUUCGUGCAAAACAAUAUAGUACAAUACUUUUAUAGAAAAUUAGUGAAUAUUUCUGUAGUUUAUUAUUUAAUAUCAUCCUGUUAUUUGAUUUAGUUUUUUCCCAUGACUUAGUUCAACUUAUGUGCAACGGUUGCUAUGUACUUCAAUAUAUAAUUUAAUUUAUCAAAAAAAUAAAUUGUCAUAUGUAAUUGAUUUGUUUAUAAAAUUUAUGUGUAUCGAUAAAUAUGUAUAUUAGAAUAAAUUUAAAUGUUGCAUAUAAGAAAAAUCUUGCUUAAAAUAAUAAAUUAAAUGUAUUAUUAUUUUUGUAAAGUAAAAUGUAUAAUAUGAUAAACAUUAGAAAAAAAUCUAUGAAAUGAAAGUUCACAUUUUGUUGAACUAUAUCCAAUUUCAACAACAAAAAGAUGAUGUUUUGAAAUGUUUUAUGUUAUUGAUAUCUUAAUGUUUUAGUAUCUCAAUCAACAUUUAUAUUUUACUAUUUAAUUAUAUCAUUAUUUAUUAUCAUUUUAUCACAUUUAUACUUUUUUCAAUAUGUAUUAAAUAAUGUUAUUUUAGUCAAAUUAUAUUCAACUUUUAUAUUAUUUAUUCACUUAUUAAAAUGUUAUAUAUAAUCUUAAACAUCAAAAAAUUAAAAUAGAUGGUGUAGUCUCUUAAAUUAUUAUUAUAAGUUAAUUGAACAUGUGGAAGAAAAUGUUAUAUAUUCUCUUAUCUGAUUUUUUAUCCUCUUUGUCUUAAAAGGUUGUUUACUUUUAAGGGGACCUGUUUUUCAUUGAAGUAUAUAUGAGUGACAUAGAUUGUCAUUGCAUUAUCUACUAUUCAUGUUUUAUUAUUAUCGAUUCUUUAAAAAAGUAAUACUAAUGAAUGAUAUAUGAUAUAUUAAUUAUGUAUAAAUUUUUUACAAUGACAAUGAUAUAUAUUACACUCGUAAUCGAUUCAUAGUGGAAGUAAUAGGUCUUAGCCGAUUUUAUAAUACCACUCAAUCCUCAUCCAACAACACUACUAUGACCACUACCAUACUACUAUCAUUGUUGUCAGCACAACAAUAUCAUCUUUAUAUAAUGCACAUUAAACAUUUAACAACACAAGAGCUUGUCAUGUUUGUAAUGCUCAUAUUUGAUCAUACGCUUAUUCUUCCACUUAUCCAAUUAUGUCUAUCGUAUCUUAAAACACCACACCAAACCAUAAAGCAUAUGGCAUAAUUAUUAUGGUUGAAUGGUUGUAAGUAAUGAAACAAAAUAACAUGGUACAGCCAAUAGAGAUGCUUGGUUGAACGGGUGAACGAGUGUAAAUUAUGCUUGCUUCUAUGGCCACGAAUGUCACCCAUCACGAUUCUCUAUUAUUACUAAUCUUUUUAAGUGUUGUAGCAAAGCACACAUAGCGACAUAAAUGUCGGUAAUAUGUUUAUGUUAGAGCAACAUAUAUAGUUGGGCCAUGAUGUCUGUUUCCCUACAAAGAUACCAUUUUUUAUCAAGGAUUAUCAGAUAGAUCAAAAUAUCAAAUGUUUGAUUCAUAAAAAUGACAAUUAUACUUAUUAGAGUGAUGGUCACACAUCCCAAAAUGAUUAGUUCAUUACUCAUAAGAUGAUAAAUAUCCUUAGUUUUAUCCACACAAAAAAGAUACCAUUUUUCUAGCUAGGAUGAUGCAACAAUUACGGAGACCAAUAUGAUUCUAUGUUAUUAAAUUUACGUUAGCAUGCUUACAAUAAAAGCAUGUAAAUGCAAAACCUUUGCUUUCUUUUGAAUAUUUGGACUCUAAUAUAUCAAAAUAACAAAAUAAGUACAUAAACUAUUUCUCAAUUAAGAAGAUUGGGGAUGAAAUUAUAGUAGGGAAAGAGGUUUGUUUCUCUAAGGGACACUUAAUUUAUUAUAGCCGUUUUAGAAGGCAAGUCCACAUGAGCAUGAAGGCAAGCGUCUUUAAAAAGGUGGGGUUAGACUGAAGACUAAUUCAACAUUUGCUAGUUGCUAAAUUGACAUCUAUUAUUAUGUGUAUGACUCUUUCAUAGGAUGAUACAAAAAUAGGAUAUUUUGUGUCCAUGAAAUGGGAUGCAAAUAUUCCACUUUUGCAACAAAUCUACUAAUAUGUUGUUCUUGAGUUUACAUUAUUAUUAUUGUAAGCUUCAUUAAGGUGUUUCAAUGUCGUGAAAGGGUGUUAUUGGACAAGUUUGUCUUUUGUCAUGGGAGGAAGUUGGUUAUGUAUUAUAGAUGUAUUAAGCUAUAUUGGAAUUGCAAGGUGAAGUGUCCAAAAAAAUUAAUCUAAUCAGUAUAAGGAAAUAAUAUGUUUAGCAUGUAUACCAGAAAGUGUUUAAUUUGAUCUUUUAAUACCAGAUUGCUCUUGAUUUAUUUAUGCUUUUUAUAGUAGAAAUUGUAAUUGGUACAUCUGCACAGGGUUUGUACUUUAUUUUUUUAGUUCUAUUUCCUAUGAUUUCCAUUCAAACUAGAUUUCUAUUGCCAAAUAAAUUUGUAGUUGGGCAUUCAUCAGAUGAUUUUCUAACCAACUAGCAUUGUCUCUAAUUUAGAGAAUAUAAAACAGAUCUACUAAUUAAUUUAAAUCAAAUGAAUCAUUAGAUUUUCAUAGAAUAGAUGACUAAUCAUUAGAUUUUCAUAGAAUAGAUAACUAAGAUGUGGAAUAAAUUUUUAUAACUUACUCUUGGAAUAAAUAAAUUCAUCUCAUAUAUGUAUAUAAUUAUGUUCCUUCAUGUCUCACAUAAGAAAAAUCAUUCAAACACAUAAACAUAAGAAUUAUGACAGCAAAUAUUGGUGUCUUCAAUACUAGGCUACAAACGAAAAUGCCACUCAUUUUUUGAAGAUCAAAAUGAUUUCUUUUUUCUUAUGCUAAUCGUUUAUGCUUGUGUUCAAUGGUUCAGGAUGAACUGAGGGAUUCUAACUGAGGCUUUCAAAAGGAUUGUGUUGAGACAGAUUCAGUGUGUAGUGUUCAGCUGCUAGGCACAGUCUGUCCCAGCCACCAUCCUUCAGAGAUGUAGGUGACCCAAAUCCACACUCUUAUGUCUACUUUCCAACAAGUGAUUUUUGCAACCACAUCUUCCAGGAAGGUAAUAGUGUUGCUAAUGAGCUAGAAAAACAAGAUUUUUAGAUUUGAAUAUAUGAUCUUGUAUUUUUGAUGUUGUUCCUAGUCUUUGUUAGUAAAACUUGUAUUGGAUAGUGCUUCUACGGUUUAUUGAAGAGGUUGGUAGGUAAUCUAUGUUUUACACCGGGGAAAAAACUUGAUGGUUUAAAUGGGUAAACUACAAGAAUUUCACCACAACUGACAUAAAAAAGGAUUUGCUGCUUAAUUGUUGGGGCAAUAGCAUUACACUUUUAUUAUAAGCCCGCAUAGCAAAGCUGGGACAGAAUCAUUACUAUAACUAUAAGUUUCAAGCAAUUGACUCUAAAUUGACAGGAAUAUAAAUUUCAUCCAUUCUACUCGAUUAUAAAAAAAUGUCAAUAGCAUAUCCAACAGAAACAAACAUUCAAACGCAACCACAAUGGUCUAAAAUCCUCAAAACAAUAUCAGGAGGCAAAAGAAAUAUUUCUACCAAAACAGGCUGAUAGAGAUACUCUAGUAAUGGUAACUAAUUCAGCAACCACCUUACAUAAACAAGUUGGGUUUCUUUGCCUUGUAUGUGGUCUUCAGCUUCCUUGUUGGUGGCCUAAUCUUCUUGUACACCAAUGGGAACUUGAUUUUGGAGUUAUGGAAUUGCUUGGUGCUCUCUCUUUUGCAAAGCUUGGCCGCGAUGGUUGC
rnacentral:lncRNA from 1 species